GUAGCGUCCCCCGAAUCCGGGCCCCAAAUCGCCUCGGAUUCGGUACACUAAUCUUUCUAUUACUGUUUGCGGAAGAUAUAAACAUAAAUUGUUUAUACAUUACAUUAUACAUUAUUCCCCAAGGUCGAGUAACCUUAACUUAAACACAAAUCAUAAGCUAUCUAUCAGAUAAGAUAUUAUUCAACUAUACUAUUACAAAAUAGCCGUACAAUUUAUCCCAAGCUGUACUUGGCAUUAACCUUUUCCUGUAUCCGAACGCAUUCGCCUUAUCUGCAAUGUUUAUCAUGAUAUAGCAAGGGUGAGCAUGAAAGUUGCCCAGCAAGUUUAAAUACAACAAUAUAAAGAUAUAUCAUGAUUGAAGAGUAUGAAUAAUACGCUGGCUAUAAUUCAUCAAUAUAAUUGAGAACAAGCACGAACAAACUUUUGACUGAACAAGGUUUUAAACAUGAACAAACAUUUCUGAACCAACUGGUAAUGAAGGUGAUCAGCCUUUCAUACCUGACUUAUACAUGCAAGAUGUACAGAGUACAAUUUUCAUGGCAAUCAGCAAUGAUUAACCAUAAGCUUGAAUAAAACACUCUUAUUAGAGUUAAGUAAGAACAAACUUGCCUGAACCGUUGAUUACCGCAACGCAAUUUAU
rnacentral:lncRNA from 1 species